rnacentral:rRNA from 1 species
AGGGAAUUUUGCGCAAUGGGCGAAAGCCUGACGCAGCAACGCCGCGUGAGGGAUGACGGCCUUCGGGUUGUAAACCUCUGUUGAGUGGGAAAAAAGGGUAGCAAUACUUUGAUGGUACCAUUCGAGUAAGCACCGGCUAACUACGUGCCAGCAGCCGCGGUAAUACGUAGGGUGCGAGCGUUGUUCGGAAUCACUGGGCGUAAAGGGAGCGUAGGCGGGAUCGUAAGUUAGGAGUUUAAUGCAUGGGCUUAACCCAUGACCUGCUUUUAAUACUGCGAUUCUUGAGUAUGGGAGAGGGCGAUGGAAUUCCAGGUGUAGCGGUGGAAUGCGUAGAUAUCUGGAAGAACACCAGUAGCGAAGGCGGUCACCUGGCCUAAUACUGACGCUGAGGCUCGAAAGCUAGGGGAGCAAAC